rnacentral:lncRNA from 1 species
CUCCAUUUAGCUGGAUCUUUGUUGUUGUUUUUUUUUUUUAUCUUAGAAAUGGGGUCUCACUCUGUCAUCCAGACCAGAGUGCAGUAGCUCAAUAAUAGCUUAAUGUAACCCCAAAUCCCUCGGUUCAAGCAAUCAUCCUGCCCCAGUCUCUCAAGUAGCUAGGACUACAGAUGUGUGCCGCUACACCUGGUUAAUUUUUUAAAUUUUCUUGUAGAGAAGGGGUAACACUAUGUUGCCUCGACUGGUCUCAAACUCCUGGCCUCAAGCAGUCCUCCUGCCUAG